AGUUGAUGGUCAGAAAAGUAGCUUGGGCUCUCUUCCAUUUUGACAUUUCCAGGUGGUCGGCCGAUCUCUCCACCGAGGUGUGGAAAAUUUCUGGGAAAACGAUAAUAAUCCUGGAGCGGCGCGGGUAUGACCGGCUCUUCCUUAUCGGCGCGGUCUGAGUAUAUCCUAAAUCGCGAUGCACAUCACACGUGCAGCCCUUUGCGGCAACCAGAUCACGCUCGAUAGUUCCUUUGAAAAUGUUUUUAGCAUAUUAUGUGGCCAAUAAUAUCAGUUUCUUGAUGAGCUUGAUUUGUUUUUGUUGAAAUAUUCGUAACAACUCAUCACCACUAGGUUCUCAGUCAAAACUGUUGACAAUAGUGCCACCCUCAAUAGUUGACAAGAGGGUUUCACUCACAUGGCUUUUGAAAAAUCUGCCAAAUUUAUACUUCACAUUAUCCAUAAAUAGAGGGCGGGCAUGCAACUCCAUUCACUCAAUAUCUAGGACCAGAAACGAUCAAUCACACGAGUACUAGGAGCAGCUGGUUUUUGUGUUGCCCAAAAAUGAGCGGCAUGAAAUCUUCGUGGCCGGAAGUGUUGGGGUGGCCGGUCAAUGCGGCCAGGCAGAAGAUCCUCAACGACCGGCCAGAUGUGAAGGUGGUUGUUGUGCCACCCGCCAUCGCGACUAGGGAGUUCAACGACAAACGAGUCAUCGUCUAUGUCAACUCCGUAGGCAAUGUCAGGCAGAUCCCAGGGAUUGGCUAGGCCUGGAUGUGCCGAUCGAUCAAUGCGGUGUUCUUUCUACAUAUUUGUAUUUCCAUGUAGUUGUUUGUUCUAUGCUACCUACGUGAAAAAUGUUGUGUCACUACGUAUUCCACCGCGAUAAGCAAAUAAACCAUUGUCGCCAGCAAUAAAAUAGUAUCAUUGUUAUCA